rnacentral:snRNA from 1 species
UACUUUGCGCAGUGGCAGUAUCAUAACCAAUGAAGUUAAUCUGAGGUAUGAUUAUUGCUAGUUGAAAACUAUUCUUUUGCUCCAUUCACUUCCUUCUCCCCCCACAGAAUGCUAAGCAUAGAGGGGCUAAGAUGCAAUUUAUACAUGCUAAUUUCUUUAA